AAUGAACGCUGGCGGUAGGCCUAACACAUGCAAGUCGAACGGCAGCACAGUAAGAGCUUGCUCUUACGGGUGGCGAGUGGCGGACAGGUGAGGAAUACAUCGGAAUCUACUUUUUCGUGGGGGAUAACGUAGGGAAACUUACGCUAAUACCGCAUACGACCUACGGGUGAAAGCAGGGGAUCUUCGGACCUUGCGCGAUUGAAUGAGCCGAUGUCGGAUUAGCUAGUUGGCGGGGUAAAGGCCCACCAAGGCGACGAUCCGUAGCUGGUCUGAGAGGAUGAUCAGCCACACUGGAACUGAGACACGGUCCAGACUCCUACGGGAGGCAGCAGUGGGGAAUAUUGGACAAUGGGCGCAAGCCUGAUCCAGCCAUACCGCGUGGGUGAAGAAGGCCUUCGGGUUGUAAAGCCCUUUUGUUGGGAAAGAAAAGCAGCAGGUUAAUACCCCGCUGUUCUGACGGUACCCAAAGAAUAAGCACCGGCUAACUUCGUG
rnacentral:rRNA from 1 species